UGGGGAAUAUUGGACAAUGGGGGCAACCCUGAUCCAGCCAUGCCGCGUGUGUGAAGAAGGCCUUUUGGUUGUAAAGCACUUUAAGCAGUGAAGAAGACUCCAUGGUUAAUACCCAUGGACGAUGACAUUAGCUGCAGAAUAAGCACCGGCUAACUCUGUGCCAGCAGCCGCGGUAAUACAGAGGGUGCAAGCGUUAAUCGGAAUUACUGGGCGUAAAGCGAGCGUAGGUGGCUGGAUAAGUCAGAUGUGAAAGCCCCGGGCUUAACCUGGGAACGGCAUCUGAUACUGUUAGGCUAGAGUAGGUGAGAGGAAGGUAGAAUUCCAGGUGUAGCGGUGAAAUGCGUAGAGAUCUGGAGGAAUACCGAUGGCGAAGGCAGCCUUCUGGCAUCAUACUGACACUGAGGUUCGAAAGCGUGGGUAGCAAACA
rnacentral:rRNA from 1 species